UACGCAGGGUGCAAGCGUUAAUCGGAAUUACUGGGCGUAAAGCGUGCGCAGGCGGUUGUGCAAGACAGGUGUGAAAUCCCCGGGCUUAACCUGGGAACUGCAUUUGUGACUGCAUCGCUGGAGUGCGGCAGAGGGGGAUGGAAUUCCGCGUGUAGCAGUGAAAUGCGUAGAUAUGCGGAGGAACACCGAUGGCGAAGGCAAUCCCCUGGGCCUGCACUGACGCUCAUGCACGAAAGCGUGGGGAGCAAACAGG
rnacentral:rRNA from 1 species